rnacentral:rRNA from 1 species
ACUACGGGGGGCAGCAGUGAGGAAUAUUGGUCAAUGGGCGCGAGCCUGAACCAGCCAAGUAGCGUGAAGGAUGACUGCCCUACGGGUUGUAAACUUCUUUUAUACAGGAAUAAAGUGAGGCACGUGUGCCUUUUUGUAUUUACUUUAUGAAUAAGGAUCGGCUAACUCCGUGCCAUCAGCCGCGGUAAUACGGAGGAUCCGAGCGUUAGCCGUAUUUAUUGGGUUUAAAGGGUGCGUAGGCGGUCGGAUAAGUUAGAGGUGAAAUCCCGAGGCUCAACUUCGGAAUUGCCUCAGAUACUGUACGGCUAGAGAGUAGUUGCGGUAGGCGGAAUGUAUGGUGUAGCGGUGAAAGGCUUAGAGAUCAUACAGAACACCGAUUGCGAAGGCAGCUUACCAAGCUACUUCUGACGUUGAGGCACGAAAGCGUGGGGAGCAAACAGGAUUAGAUACCCCAGUAGGC